UUUGGGUAGGGAAGGAGGCUCGUGGGAGGACUAUUUCUCAGUAUCAGCAAAGCACUGAAGUGGGUGGCAGGAGCUGACCAGGGCCCAGGAAGUCUCAAAUCCCCACCGCAGCCUGCUGGAGCCCGCCCCACCUACCCCCACUCACAGCUCCUCCGCAGGGCUUCCGCCAGCGUGGGACCAGCAGACAGAGCAGCGGUCUGGGGAGCAGAAAUCCUGCCUGCCUGCCCCGCCUCUGCUGCUUAUCAGCCCUGUGACCGUGGAAGAUUGGAAGAAUGGAAGUC